CCCAACCAGCGUGUUUGCUGUUCAUAACUCUCUCCACAUAAGGUAACAGCACCCAAAAUCCGACAAAUCCUCUUAGAACAUUGAACACUCUUUAGUACUAACUGCAAGUAAUGCUAAAAUUCAUAGACGUUGCAUACACUCCGGGUUUUAAGAGAGUAGGCUAUUAAUGACAUUGGACCAAACCAUUCCACAUGACGCGUGCAUGUUGUGCAAAUGCGUCACAACAGUGCAACAUGCAUGGCCAUCUGUGGCCACACAAAAGCCAAACAGACUAUUAUCCCGGCUUUGCUGCCUUUUUUGUUUCUCAAUCCUUUCAUUUCCUUCCAAACAUUGCAAGUUUCAGAGAGAUCUAUGGCUAUCACUCAGAGAUAAAUCUCAUAUUAAUUGAGGGGUACAAGAAUCUCAAGGUUUGAAAUGGAACUCAAAGCUAUAUUUAAAGUCUCUUCUAUUUGAUUUUCAUAUUUGAAGAAAAAUGUCAUUUUCAUCACAGAAAUAAAAAUUCCUAAAACGGGUCUAGUUCUUCACAGUAUUUGUGAGAUUCUUUUGCAGGAUUCAAGUUUCAGACCUCUAGCUCAUUCAUCCUAGAAAUCCCAGGUAAAUCUGAUCAAAUUCACGAUUAUAUGCAUGCAUCCUCCUUAAAAGAUAAAAGUAUAUUUUAUGGUCUUGUUUGUAAUUAUUUUCUGCUCAUGCAACUCACCUAGUUGAAAAAUCUAGCUACGAAGUCAUGUGAUUGUUCAACAAGUAUCUUUGCACUAAUUCCCUCUAUCCCAACAAAGCAGCCAAUUUUCAGAAGUAGGGUUAUGCCAUGGUUCGAAUUGAUUUAGUUUGGUUCUUCUUUAGCAGUAAUUUUCAGACCAAACUGAAAAAUCCUCCUAAAACAUAAAUGAUCAAAAUUAAAUCCACGAUUUGGCAUGUACGUAAUAAAGACAUCAAGACAUCGUUUGGGCCUUAUAAUUCUUUUAAACAAGACCUCUGCAUUCUUCGGGACCCAUUUGUAAAAAAGGUCUCCAGGUCCAAAUGUAAUCAAAGUGUGGCCACUUAGACGUAGCUAGCAAAAAAUUUUAUGAGAUGCCAACCAAGAAUGUUAUCUGUUGGACAAGCACAAUUUCUGGGUACAUGAACUGCGGUCAGCUUGAUGAAGCCAGAGGGUUAUUCAAUACAAGUCCAGCCAAGGAUAUUGUCCUGUGGAUGGCUAUGGCCACCACAAUAGUUUUAAUUCUUAUAAGGAAUAGAACACUUUUAGCUUAAAAGUAAAGCAAGUGUAUAAGACUACAAAUUGACAAUGUGAAAGUAGUUUCUAUACAAUAGCAAUUCCUAAAAUUUUCUCGUAAACAGAAGAAAUGUUUGAGAAAAGAUAAUCUCAUUGGUUUUGGUGGGCAAACCUGAACUCAACAGAAAAUUCAAGUUGAACCCUUUUCAUCCCAAACCAAAGAAAAGUUAAUUAAUUGAGUUCAUUCUUUUCUUCUUCUUCUUUUUAAGUAUCUUUAAUUCUUUCUUUUCUGCACGCCCAGCUUAACAUGUUUAGUACAUCGAGCAAACCUCUUAAGUGUUUUAGAACAUCUGUUAUCCUUCCAUGGGCAAUUUGAUUGAGAUGGCUGCCAUUCUGCAAACACGUAGAUCUCAUACUACAACCUCAUAUAUUGGAACACAGAACUAGGGUCCAGUCAGUGGCCAAUCCAGAAACUAACAAACUAACUCUAAUAGUAUCAUAUAAGAGAGGCUAAUAAACAUAUAUAUGCUGAUUAUUAUUACAGUCCUGACUCAUGAAAAUUGUAAUCAAACAUUAGAUAUAUGACUAUUAAACUCUAUUCCAAAUAUAUAACCUUUAAAAUUCACAGAAAUGUGAAAAGACAAAGGCCAACUAAUGUCUAGGCAGCAGAGGAAUGCUCUAUUAGGAGCUGAUAUGUUCCUUCCUAAUUUGGGAAAAAAGCAAGAAAAGCUCUUCACAGCCUUCAAGAAACCUAUAAGCUUGAAAAGAUUUCACUAGUUACUUUAACGUCUUCCAGAUCUGACAUCCAAGAGUAGUUUUGUUUGGUGUGGUUUACAGCAACAGCAGCUAAUUAUGGACAGAAGUAUCAGCAGACAAAGAACAAGAGCUCAUACAUCUGAAGCCACCGACUACAUAAGCCGACUACCAGAUGUAAUUCUAGUCUAUAUACUUUCAUUCCUCCCUCUGAAAGACUGCAUCAAAAUAAGUGCCCUAUCCAAAAGAUGGAAGUACCUUUGGACAAAGACUUCUCGACUAAAUAUAAACGAAAUAGAGAUCAUUGCUAAGCUAGUGAGAAGCAAUUUCUACUGCACCAUCUGUGAGGACAUUUGGACUUCUUCUACUACUUGUUGCCAGAAGCAUUUGCUUAAGGUAGCAAGGAGCAUGUUUGCAGAUGUUGUAGACCGAACUCUCCUACUACACUCAGGCUGCACCCUGGACAAAUUCCAAUUGUCUUUCCUUUAUGAUGUCUAUGAUGGAUUGACAGAAAAGGUUGAUAUCUGGGUUAGGUAUGCUUGGGCAUCCAACAUCAAAGAUAUGGAGUUGAGCUUCUUUAAUCCAGGUCUGUUGGAAUACUUCGAUGAGAGGGUACCUGUUCGCGUAGGUGUCGACCUUAAUUUACUAUAUGAACUGCCUCAUAACUGUUUGGUAUCAAAGAUUCUAAGCAGUUUGAACAUGAACUGCUGCAAGCUAAGAGCAUCUGCUUUAAAAGUUUUUCCUUCUCUUCGAAGGAUAUUCCUAAAGCAGGUUGUCAUCCUUGAUUCUUCAGUUAGAGUUCUGGCAUCAAAAUUUCCUCUUCUAGAAGAUCUGAGCCUGGAAAAUUGUGUCAUCUCCAUACAAUUUUUUGUAUGUGAUGAAGACUUGAUGAUUAAAAGACUUUAUGUGACCAACUGCAAGCCCAAUGAGAUCCCCACCUUCGAGAUUAACAUAUCAACUCCGCGCCUAGUACUACUGGUGUUACAUGGAGUCUAUGUCAAAUUGACUUCUAUGAGGAAAGUGACACAACUGGUUGACGUUACAAUCGACAUCAGAUGUUUGCUUGUCAGCAAAGAACAAGCAGGUCUUACUUCAUUGCUGAGUGGAUUACGCCACUCCCAGAAUCUGACAUUAACAUCAUGGUGCAUUCAGGUAGCUUUUCUCUAUUCCUCUUGCUUGCAAAUUUUGAGCCAAAUACACUCAUUGUCACAUAUCAGUCUGUGGUCAUCAGGCUCUGCCUGCAGAUGAAAAUCUGACAGAUCAAGCGAGAUUCCGACUUCAAGAGGUGGUGCAACUAACUUUAGCGCUGUGCUUAGUAAAGCAUGAUCUUCCGAGGGUGGCCUGCCUCCUAAGGAGCUGUCCAAAUCUGAAAUAGCUGACUCUAACAUUGCAAGGAAAUGCUAGGGCAUAUAACAUGGUAUCAGAAAAAAGAAUCUUACAAGGAAAUAUUAUGAUAUUUUCUGCUCUAUCAGGAGCAUCUAACAUGUGAUCUUACUGUUUUCUUUAGGGUAAUUUCUUCCGUAAUGGUGGUCCAGACAUUUCAGACUGUGAUCCAGAGCACUACUUUCAAUCUGAAUGUUUGCCAUUCCCUUGUCUGGAAAACAGUCUCGAGAAAAUUACAGUUAAUGGGUUUGCUGGAAGAAAGAAUGAGAUGAACGUUGUCCGUUUUCUGCUGAGAAACGCAAGAGUCUUGGAGGAAAUUUCCAUCUUUUAUGAAGACGCAGAGGAGUAUUAUAGAGGAGCAAUGGGACUGUGGAGGCAAAAUGGGCAAUUCCAUCAAAUAUUUUGUGAGCUGCUAAGGUGUCAGAGGGUAUCGGCUCGAGCUGAGGUGAUAUUUUCAAGCCCCCCAAGCGAAUAUGUUAAUUAUGAAGGGUCCUACUAUCUGGUUCAGUAGUUAUGUCUAUGCUGUUCCUAAGUUCUCCCUUUCACAUCGUGCUGAGGAAGGCAUACGUUUUAUAUGGCAGAUCUCUUAUGUUUGGUACCAACUUGUUUGCAGUACUUAUAAAUAAAUACCGCUCAUGUGAUUAUGACGUCCAAUUGUGACAAAAUGACGUGUGGCCUUUUAUCCAUCUAUUCUUGUUAGCUCUAUUGAAUAUCCUCAGCUAUUAUCAGGAGUAAACCAAGCCUCUUGCAACCAAGGACCCAAUUCAUUUUGAGGUAGCUUGACUUCUGGCAAGUAUUUAACAUCCACCUUAGGCCAAACAAAAGAUAUGUACAUGCUACAUGCACACCUACUCAGUCAAGCAGUACAAAUCUUGUUUUAUUUUUACAGGGACGGAACACCUAGCAAACCAUCUAAUAAAAAAGCAUACAAAAAUCAACUUGACUGCCCCUGCAACAUAUUUUCAGCACCCCUGUGCCUUGUGUUUCUACAUUCUGAACACCGUUACAAUAGUUGAGAAUGAGUAGUUCUAGUCUAGAUGGAAUCCAUGAAGUGAAUAUGACAUGACAGAUUAAACAGAAUCCCAUAAAACCAUAUCACAUUUAGAGUCCCACAUAUAGCCAAUGCAAUUCAAACAUCAAAGACAUGAUUAACUAUAACAUUGCAAAUUCAAGAAUGCAGCACAUACCAACAACAUUAAGUGAGCAGGCUUCUUUGCCUUGGGUGCAAAAGAGUAAGAGGAUCCAGCCUCACGUGAUUGAUGAGAAAGCGCUCCUGGUUUCCAUAUCAACAGAAAGCAGGUGUAUUACAGAACAAGUAGCGAAAAUCCAGCCCAUGGUGGCGCCAGCGCCUCAAAUAGAGAUGUCCCAUCCAGUAGAGAGAUUGAAACUGGGCUCAGGUUGGAAUGAGAGAGAAAGCUAAGAACCCUGUAUAAAAAGCAAGAGAAUAGAAAAAAUGGAUGGAAAUUGUCAGGUUGGAUCUCAAAUUGGACCCAGUGUUAGAUCUUCUAUGGAACUAACCAUACAGGCAUCGAUUUGUAUUGUAAUCUUGGAAACGUUUACAGCGUGUUCUGUGUUUUGGCUAAGAGUUUGUGCAUAAGGAAUUUGACAUGUGAAGAAAACAACUCUCUCUCUCUCUCUCUCUCUCAAGCAAGUUUGAGAUUGAUUGACCAGAAAGAAUUACUGAAACGGGAGCUAUAUUACUCAAACGGAAAAUGAGCGCAACGAUGCACAAAUCAAUGGAAGAAAAAGUUGCGAAUUGAUGCAGAUAACCCCCAUAGCAACAUCCAGUUUAGCAUCGUAUAUUGUCAAUAUUCCUGGAAAUCUCGGCUAAAGUCUUGAACUUUUCGAGGUUAUUUUCACCCACAAACGGUGUGAACGCGGCAAAAACCAAACUUUAACCGACUUCGAUCCAUAAAAACGCACUGAAAAUAGAUUCGCGGAGAAAAACGCCAUCCGGGUACCUCUCGGGAGAAGUUUCGCAGUCUGGAGCGAAGUUUCUGAAAAGAAAGCGGAGGGGGCGACGAUGGCGAAAUGGCUUUUAGCUAUUGCCGGUGGGGGGGGACCGCUUCACGGUUUUGCAUUUUCUGGAACCCUGCUCCGCGACCGCAGAUCGUCCCGGGACGAUCCCUGCUUUUCUAGAUGACUCUCGUGGGAACACGAUUCUUUUGAGGCGUCCGAUGAUUCGAGCCAGCGGGGAAAUGGUAAGGGAAAUCGAAAGGCGAGAGGAAUGCGUCCCGCCAUGCUACGCGCGCUUUCUUUUUGCUUUGUCGCGGACCAUUUCUCUACUACCACCAACGCCAACACACUCAAAACCGAAUGUGAUCUUCUUUUCAUCGUGUUGUUGUCGUUGUCUGAUAAUUGCCACCACCUUCUCUUUUACUGCAGAUUUUUUUAUACAUAAAAAAGUGUACGAUCAACGAUAUUGAACAAUCAAUUGAUGCAUAUGAACAAAAAUCGGGUGUUGUACGGUCUUUUCUACUUUUGCGGGUACUGAUAAAUCUUAAAAAUUCAUAGAUUACCCACUCUUGGACCCUAUCGCCUCUCGGACAGCUGG
rnacentral:lncRNA from 1 species